rnacentral:rRNA from 1 species
UACGAGGGGUGCAAGCGUUGCUCGGAAUUAUUGGGCGUAAAGGGUAGGUAGGUGGUCUCAUUUGUCUAGGGUGAAAGCCUUGAGCUUAACUCAAGAAGUGCCCUAGAAACGGUGAGACUGGAGUCUUGGAGAGGGUCGUGGAAUUCCCGGUGUAGCGGUGAAAUGCGUUGAUAUCAGAAGGAACGCCGGUGGCGAAAGCGACGGACUGGACCUCUUCUGACGCUGAGGCGCGAAAGCUAGGGGAGCAAACGGG